GACCGCGUAGCUCAGAUGGCAGAGCAUUUGGCUAGUAUUCCAAAGGUCGUAGGUUCGAUUCCCACCGUGGUCA
rnacentral:tRNA from 1 species